rnacentral:rRNA from 1 species
AGCAUAUCAAUAAGCGGAGGAAAAGAAACCAACCGGGAUUGCCUCAGUAACGGCGAGUGAAGCGGCAAAAGCUCAAAUUUGAAAUCUGCGUAAGCCGAGUUGUAAUUUGAAGAUGGCUACUUUGGUAAUGGCUCUUGUCUAUGUUCCUUGGAACAGGACGUCACAGAGGGUGAGAAUCCCGUGCGAUGAGAUGUCCAUUACCGUGUAAAGUGCUUUCGAAGAGUCGAGUUGUUUGGGAAUGCAGCUCUAAGUGGGUGGUAAAUUCCAUCUAAAGCUAAAUAUUGGCGAGAGACCGAUAGCGAACAAGUACAGUGAUGGAAAGAUGAAAAGAACUUUGAAAAGAGAGUGAAAAAGUACGUGAAAUUGUUGAAAGGGAAGGGCUUGAGAUCAGACUUGGUAUUUUGUAUGGCUUGCUUUCGGGCGGGUCCUCUGCAGUUUACUGGGCCAGCAUCGGUUUGGGUGGCAGGAUAAUAGCAUAGGAAUGUGGCUCUACUUCGGUGGAGUGUUAUAGCCUUUGUUGAUACUGCCUGCCUAGACCGAGGACUGCGUCUUUUGACUAGGAUGCUGGCAUAAUGAUCCUAAGCCGCCCGUCUUGAAACACGGACCAAGGAGUCUAACGUCUAUGCGAGUGUUUGGGUGUAAAACCCGUACGCGGAAUGAAAGUGAACGUAGAUGAGAGCCUUUUAGGCGCAUCAUCGACCGAUCCUGAUGUCUUCGGAUGGAUUUGAGUAAGAGCAUAGCUGUUGGGACCCGAAAGAUGGUGAACUAUGCCUGAAUAGGGUGAAGCCAGAGGAAACUCUGGUGGAGGCUCGUAGCGGUUCUGACGUGCAAAUCGAUCGUCGAAUUUGGGUAUAGGGGCGAAAGACUAAUCGAACCAUCUAGUAGCUGGUUCCUG